GCUGUACUGCCCCCUGCUAACCAGGGGUCCUCAGGAUGCCUUGGUAUGAAACACACCAAGGAAUCAGUAUCCUUAUCAGAAAGAAAGGAACUUCCAGAAGGAGCCUUUGUGGGGGUCGUUGGGUCCAGCCUCUUAGGGCUGCAGAUCUCACCAGAGUUGCACACAGCAUGUUAAAAACAUGUGCCAAGUUUUUGAAAGUAUGAGUCAGAAUUUCCUGCCCCGACAGUGCCGUGGCAGAAGGGCUCAGUCCUGUAGGUUGUGAGUCAGGAACCCACAUCCACUGUUUGAUCCUGCAGGCAGAGGCUGUGCACAUAAAUGGGUAUUUAGGUGCUUGUGGUGUCAGGUCCUCAAGGCCCACCGUCAGAGGCUUCUGGAGGAGUAGGUGGGAGAAGGGGACAAACUGCUCGGGGUCACAGGACUGCGUGGGGAAGGUGGGUUCGUGCCUGCUGCUGUUACAGACACAGCUUUGUACGUACCCGUGGCCUUCCCCUGUAAUUUGACAUCUUCAGCAUGCUGGUAAGUAUGCACUGACAUGUGCAGAGGUCGGCAAGGGGAGGUGGCGUUCCCGUGGUCAUUUGGGAAAUCGCGUGUCAGAACUGGGAGCAGAAGCCAGAGUCGGGGAGCCGUCCUCUGGCUGCCAAGUGCCUUUAGGCCUGGGUGUCAGGCUCGAGGUACUGCAAGGGUACGGCGGGGAGCAGAGUUUGUCGGAUGCCAAAGCUGUUUUGCCUGUUAGGUCUCUCUGAACAGUUGGGUGGAGGUAAAGAUCGAUUCCUGUUGAGGUUUUGUGCUAAGAAGUGCUGAGCUCAGAGUCUGUUAACACCCAUUUGACAAGGACGAGCGUGAAGUCUGGUGCUCGAUGCACAGACUUCGCAGGAACCGAAUGGCACCUGUACAAUUCCUGCCUCACUGCUGUCGCCAGCAGCGCCUGCUGGGUGCUGCGCACGUGCCCCAGGGCAAAGGCAUCAUCUCACGCUCUCUCCUCUCUCCCUCUCUCUCUUUCUGUUGUCUCUCUU